GGUGUAUAAGAGACAGGUGAAUCAUCGAAUCUUUGAACGCACAUUGCGCCCUUCGGUAUUCCGUAGGGCAUGCCUGUUCGAGCGUCAUUGAAAACCCUUCAAGCUCUGCUUGGUGUUGGGCGUUUGUCCCGCCCCGGUGCGUGGACUCGCCUCAAAACUAUUGGCAGCCGGUUUACUGGCUUUGGUGCAGCACAACGCGCCGCAAGCACACUGAAUCUGGCUCCCAGAAGCCCCUUCUAAGUUUGACCUCGGAUCAGGUAGGGAUACCCGCUGAACUUAAGCAUAUCAAUAAGCGGAGGA
rnacentral:misc_RNA from 1 species